GACGAACGCUGGCGGCGUGCUUAACACAUGCAAGUCGAACGGAAAGGCCCUGCUUUUGUGGGGUGCUCGAGUGGCGAACGGGUGAGUAACACGUGAGUAACCUGCCCUUGACUUUGGGAUAACUUCAGGAAACUGGGGCUAAUACCGGAUAGGAGCUCCUGCUGCAUGGUGGGGGUUGGAAAGUUUCGGCGGUUGGGGAUGGACUCGAGGCUUAUCAGCUUGUUGGUGGGGUAGUGGCUUACCAAGGCUUUGACGGGUAGCCGGCCUGGGAGGGUGACCGGCCACAUUAGGACUGAGAUACGGCCCAGACUCCUACGGGAGGCAGCAGUGGAGUAUAGUGCACUAUGGGCGGAAGCCUGAUGCAGCAACGCCGCGUGCGGGAUGACGGCCUUCGGGUUGUAAACCGCAGUCGCCUGUGACGAAGCGUGAGUGACGGUAAUGGGUAAAGAAGCACCGGCUAACUACGUG
rnacentral:rRNA from 1 species